CGCCUUGCCAGCCCGCUCAGAAACUUAAAGGAAUUGACGGGGGCCCGCACAAGCGGCGGAGCAUGUGGAUUAAUUCGAUGCAACGCGAAGAACCUUACCUGGGGUUUGACAUACACCGGAAAACCGUAGAGAUACGGUCCCCCUUGUGGUCGGUGUACAGGUGGUGCAUGGCUGUCGUCAGCUCGUGUCGUGAGAUGUUGGGUUAAGUCCCGCAACGAGCGCAACCCUUGUCUUAUGUUGCCAGCACGUGAUGGUGGGGACUCGUAAGAGACUGCCGGGGUCAACUCGGAGGAAGGUGGGGACGACGUCAAGUCAUCAUGCCCCUUAUGUCCAGGGCUUCACACAUGCUACAAUGGCCAGUACAGAGGGCUGCGAGACCGUGAGGUGGAGCGAAUCCCUUAAAGCUGGUCUCAGUUCGGAUCGGGGUCUGCAACUCGACCCCGUGAAGUUGGAUUCGCUAGUAAUCGCGCAUCAGCCAUGGCGCGGUGAAUACGUUCCCGGGCCUU
rnacentral:rRNA from 1 species